rnacentral:lncRNA from 1 species
AUGGGAAAUAAGCAAGACGAACUCCAACUCUUAGCACAGCACCACACAUACGAUGUCAUAGGCAUCACUGAAACCUGGUGGGAUGACUCCCAUCACUGGAAUUUAACCAUUGAGGGCUAUAACCUCUUUCACAGAAAUAGAACAAAGGGGAGAGGAGGGGGAGUAGCUUUAUAUGUCAAAACCAGUUACAUUGCAGAAGAAAUGCAAGACUGUAAUCCGGGAAACCAGCUUGAAAGCAUCUGGAUAAGAAUCAAGGGAACCGGGACUCAAAAAGAUCUUCUCGUGGGUGUCUACUACAGACCUCCGAGUCAGGAUGAAGGACUUGAUGAAGCCUUCUGUCAACAGCUGACCAAACAGGCACAAAGAAGAGAUAUAGUAGUCAUGGGCGAUUUCAAUUAUCCCGAUAUCUGCUGGAAAACAAACUCAGCCAAGAGUACAAAGUCCAACAAAUUCCUCACUUGCCUUGCAGACAAUUUUAUGGUCCAGAAGGUAGAAGAGGCAACAAGAGGAUCAGCAACUCUUGAUCUAAUCUUAACAAAUGUGGAAGACCUGAUCAAUACAGUUGAAGUGGUUGGAUCCUUAGGGGCAAGUGACCAUGUGCUCCUGGAGUUUGCAAUACAAAGGAAUGCUGAAACUAAGACAAGUCAAACACGCAUUCUCGACUUUAAGAGAACUGACUUCCAAAAAAUGAAGGAAUUACUGAGCGGCAUUCCAUGGACGCCAAUAUUAAAAAACAAGGGAGUUAAGGAUGGAUGGGAGUUUUUCAAAAGUGAAAUACUCAAGGCGCAAAUGCAAACAGUGCCAACAAAGAAGAAAAAUAAGACAAGUGCAAAGAAGCCAGAAUGGAUGUCCAAAGAACUUCUAACUGAGCUAAAGCUCAAAUGUGACAUCCACAAGAAGUGGAAUAGGGGAGAAAUCACCAAAGAAGAAUUCAAACGUAUAGCCAACUCCUGUAGAGAAAAGGUUCGCAAGGCUAAAGCGCAAAAUGAGCUCAGGCUUGCCAGGGACAUAAAAAACAACAAAAAAGGCUUUUUUGCUUACGUUGGUAGAAAAAGGAAGAAAAAGGAGGUGAUAGGGCCCCUGCGAGGAGAAGAUGGGGUGAUGGCGGCAGGGGACAGGAAAAGGCAGAACUACUUAAUGCCUUCUUUGCCUCGGUCUUCUCAGAAAAAGAAAGCCAUCUUCAACCUCAGCAACACGGAAUGGACGAAGGAUUGGGGGAAAUCCAACCCCAAAUAG